UAUGUAAAACAAACAGCAGAA
rnacentral:piRNA from 1 species